GCUCGAGCCGCGGACAGAAAGAGAUGGUUGAUCUAUGGUGGAAAAGCUAACGCGACAGUAGCAGCGUUUUGUGGAGAAAUUCGGAGAUUUGAUAUUGAGAGAUUGAAGGCUGUGAACCCUCGUGAGCUGGAAUUCCCCUUGCUGCGCGUGGUGCUUAGCAUGGUCGGGGUUUUUUUUUGGAUCGGAUUUGGAAAUCUUGAGAAGAACCAAGGAUCAACUUCCAGCACUUGAUGCUGCAGACCCUCCUCUGGUCACCAUGACGAUCCUCCACAUGAAGGUUAAACCAUCCAGCUGCUGAUGGACAGAAUCUGAUGUUCUCUGCUUCGGUUUGACCUCCAUGAAAGCUACAGAAGAGUCCAGAUGAGAAAAACAUCAUUACCUGGUCUCCUGUUCAACCAUCCAGCUCUGCCCUGGGCGACGUAAAGCUUCCUACUGGUCCACUUAAACGGCUCUAACCUGCCAUCAGGUGAGUGUGUGGGCAGCAGGUAGAGGAGAUGGCUGGCAGACAGAGCAGCUCUUAUGUUCAGUGAGUGAAUCUAAACUGACUGCUGCAUGGAAAUCUGCAAUAAUAAACCAACAAGUUGAGCUGGCAGUCGCCCCUGAACAUGAAUACAGCAACCUUUACAUGAACAGGUAGCGUUGCUAUUGACAGGUAAAUCACUUUCACAACAGAGAUCAGUGGAGCAGUCAACAAGGUUUCACAGCUGGAUUUGUGCAUUAAUGUUGGUUUUACCAUAAAGACGUCCUCAAACAAGGUGGAUUCAGUUCAUUUUAAGCCAUAGAUCUUCUAUUUAAUGCAGGUGGAACCAAUCUGGCAUCAUUAAUUAGGGAAAAUACAGCUGUUUUAACACAAGGUAGAAUGGAAAUGUGUCACAUGAUGCUAAGAAAUGCAUUGAAUUUAUGUAAAGUCUUAAUGCAAAAUUUUGGAGCAUAUAAGUAGCACAGUUUGUACAAAGUGAGACAAAAAC
ensembl:lncRNA